rnacentral:hammerhead_ribozyme from 1 species
AUCCAAACGACGAGUACGAAAUAAGACGAAACGCGCGUCCUGGAU